CUCCCGUUUCGCUCAGUUGGUAAAGCCCUCCAGUGGAAAUGGAGAGGUGCCUGGUUCGAUACCAGGACGAGGCA
rnacentral:tRNA from 1 species